rnacentral:rRNA from 1 species
AUUGAACGCUGGCGGCAGGCCUAACACAUGCAAGUCGAGCGGAUGACGGGAGCUUGCUCCUUGAUUCAGCGGCGGACGGGUGAGUAAUGCCUAGGAAUCUGCCUGAUAGUGGGGGACAACGUUUCGAAAGGAACGCUAAUACCGCAUACGUCCUACGGGAGAAAGCAGGGGACCUUCGGGCCUUGCGCUAUCAGAUGAGCCUAGGUCGGAUUAGCUAGUUGGUGGGGUAAUGGCUCACCAAGGCGACGAUCCGUAACUGGUCUGAGAGGAUGAUCAGUCACACUGGAACUGAGACACGGUCCAGACUCCUACGGGAGGCAGCAGUGGGGAAUAUUGGACAAUGGGCGAAAGCCUGAUCCAGCCAUACCGCGUGUGUGAAGAAGGUCUUCGGAUUGUAAAGCACUUUAAGUUGGGAGGAAGGGCAGUAAGUUAAUACCUUGCUGUUUUGACGUUACCGACAGAAUAAGCACCGGCUAACUCUGUGCCAGCCGCCGCAGUAAAAC